rnacentral:lncRNA from 1 species
UAACUUUCUGGAGGAUAUGUUAUCCGAGCAUGAUGUUUACGAGGGAGUUGUUCAGUCCAACGCCAAGGUAAUCGUUUUGUAAUUUACCAUUUCAUGUAACUGGUCUUUUACGCUUUUGGUGCUAACUAUUGAUUUUGACAUCAUAUGAGCUGGGUGAAUCGUAACCGUUCUUACAAGAUUCGUGUUGCUAGGGGGAAAACAGCCGCAGCCAAGAAGAGCGCCCUCCAUUAUCGAGAUGUGUUGAAGGCAGAGCGGGCUAGAUUUUUUUGUCAUUAUAAGAUACUCUGAAACAUGAUCAUUCCAAUUUCAGACUCUGACAACUGACUUUAACUUUUCCGAAUCAAGAUAACUGGGUCUCUAGGAUGAUUAACCGGUUCAAUAAAGUCCAACAGCAC